UUUAUUGGAGAGUUUGAUCCUGGCUCAGGACGAACGCUGGCGGCGUGCCUAAUACAUGCAAGUCGAGCGAAUCUGAGGGAGCUUGCUCCCGAAGAUUAGCGGCGGACGGGUGAGUAACACGUGGGUAACCUGCCUGUAAGAUUGGGAUAACUCCGGGAAACCGAAGCUAAUACCGGAUAAUAUUUCGAACCGCAUGGUUCGAAAUUGAAAGGUGGCUUUUGCUACCACUUACAGAUGGACCCGCGGCGCAUUAGCUAGUUGGUGAGGUAACGGCUCACCAAGGCGACGAUGCGUAGCCGACCUGAGAGGGUGAUCGGCCA
rnacentral:rRNA from 1 species